GAAGCGUGGGAGGCGUGGGAGAAGAGUGUUGAUGGUUGGUGUGUGUGCUUUGCGGCGGUGAUGGAGUGUAAUAAUCACGGUUUAUCUUCACUAUCAGGAAGCAUCCGUUGCCCAGUCUGCUCCACAGAGAAGAUCAAGGUACGUGACGCGUGGUGGUUUUAUCGGCCGGUGUUGCAUGGCGUGGCCGCGGCGGUGUUGCGUGAGGGAAGAAGGCGUGUAGAUCUGCGGCUCGCGGGCGUGGUACUCGAAGGCGCGGCGGGUAAGGCGUGGUGUGGCGUGGCGAGGGACGUGACAUUGGAGUUCACCACUUCCCGGGAGACGAGGACCACGACGAGGGGCUCGUUGUAUUUACGUGACGCUGCCUCGUCAUCGGAAGGGAAACACUGACCAAAGGACCCCUAUCGAUUUUUUUUUCAUGACAGAGGCAGACACGCGAAGUACAGUAACUUAAAUAUAAAAGGAAAAAUAUUACCUGGACAUCGCGACAAGAAAAAAAAGAAUACUACUGGAAACAAACAAAACAAAACAAAAAUAAAAACUUAAACUCG